rnacentral:lncRNA from 1 species
CCGAGAGCUUGGAAGCGCCGAGAGCCCGAGCCGGGGACGUGCGGGGGAGGGGAGAGGCGAGCCCGAGCGGGGGGCGGCCGGGGAACCGAGAGCUCGCCCCCGGCCCCCCCAGCCCGCUCUCGCAGCGAAAUCCCAGAGUCGGGCGUGCGCCCCAAGUGCAGACAAAGAGCGGCGGAGCGAGCGGCAAAGUCGGCGGCGGGCUCGCGCUUUGUGCGCCUAGGGCUCGGCCGGCUGCGGCCGGCGGCCGUUCCCCGGCUGCGUGGACCGUGUCAGAGGCCGGGGCCGCGCGGACAUCGUCGGCUCCCCGGCGGCUCCAGUGCGCGGGUCCGAGGCCGGGCGUGGGGCCGCUCUCCUGUCCCCUCGCGGCUCACUCAGCGCGACCAGGCUGGAGGGGGGCGCGUCUGGGCAGCCCGGAGCAUCCGGGGCGCGCGGGUCGGGUCCCUCGGGCGGCCCGGGCCGCCGCUCGCGGGGGCCGGGGGAGGGAGGCGGGCGCCGGGCGACGGCUGUGGACCGCGGCUGGGGGCCGGAGCGCGGCGCGGGCGCCUCGACGCCCCCCCUCGGAGGGGAGAGCCUGCUGCUCCGUCUGCUCGCGCCGCCGCCGCCAGCCCUUCCCCGGGCCGAGGAGGAACUCCGGGCUCAGUCGGUGCAAAUCCUGCGCCCUGGUGUCCAAACUCCGGCGGGCACGGGAAGCCUCGGCGAAGGGGUCCUCUCGGCUCCCGAGUGAAGCGGCGGCGUCCCCGGCCAGGCGCGGUCGGCGUCCCCGCCGCCUCGGAGCGCGCAGGCUGGAGAGCGCCGGAGGGGGAGCCGUAGCCCGAGCCCGGGAGCUCUGCGGCUUCUUUUCUUCCUCCCAGCCUGGCUCUCCUCUCCGCGCCCCGACAAACCCCCAAAACACACAAACACAGGCACUCGGCACACACACACGUACACGCACCCCCCCCUAAAAAAAAGUGCCUCGGACCUGCGGAUACCACACACAGACAGGCGAAGCGGGCCGAGCACGAGGUCUGAACUGCCGCGAGAGCAGUUCC